UCCGUAGGGUGAACCUGCGGAGGGAUCAUUACCGAGUUUACAACUCCCAAACCCCUGUGAACAUACCUUAAACGUUGCCUCGGCGGAUCAGCCCGCGCCCCGUAAAACGGGACGGCCCGCCGGAGGAACCCCAAACUCUAUUGUCUUUAUUGUAUCUUCUGAGUAAAAAACAAACAAAUAAAUCAAAACUUUCAACAACGGAUCUCUUGGUUCUGGCAUCGAUGAAGAACGCAGCAAAAUGCGAUAAGUAAUGUGAAUUGCAGAAUUCAGUGAAUCAUCGAAUCUUUGAACGCACAUUGCGCCCGCCAGUAUUCUGGCGGGCAUGCCUGUUCGAGCGUCAUUUCAACCCUCAAACCCCCCGGGUUUGGUGUUGGGGAUCGGCCGUGUUCUUGCAACCGGCCGGCCCCGAAAUCUAGUGGCGGUCUCGCUGCAGCCUCCAUUGCGUAGUAGCUAACACCUCGCAACUGGAACGCGGCGCGGCCAAGCCGUUAAACACCCCAACUUCUGAAUGUUGACCUCGGAUCAGGUAGGAAUACCCGCUGAACUUAAGCAUAUCAAUAGGCCCGGAGGAA
rnacentral:rRNA from 1 species